rnacentral:rRNA from 16 species
CGUCGUGAGACAGUUCGGUCCCUAUCUGCCGUGGGUGUAGGAUACUUGAGAGGAGUUGCCCCUAGUACGAGAGGACCGGGGUGAACGAUCCACUGGUGGACCUGUUGUGGCGCCAGCCGCAUUGCAGGGUAGCUAUGUAUGGACGGGAUAACCGCUGAAAGCAUCUAAGCGGGAAACCCACCUCAAAACCAGGUUUCCCUUGAGAGCCGUUCUAGACUAGGACGUCGAUAGGCCAGGUGUGGAAGCGCUGCGAGGCGUGGAGCUUACUGGUACUAAUUGCUCGAUUGGCUUGAUC